UAGGUCUUAGCUUUAGAAUUGAAUUCUGACUAUAAACAAAUAUUAUUAGUAUGCAAUACUCAUUUGAUAUCUGAUCCAGAAGGUGAUUUUAUUAGAUUGUUUCAAGCGUUAAUUGAACUAAUUAUUAUUAAUAAAAUAAAACAAAAUAUCACCAAGGAUUAUCCCGAGAGCAAUGUAUCGGUUAUAUUCUGUGGAGAUUUCAACAGUACACCUGAAAGUGGUGUUAAUGAUUUAGUCACCAAUUUAUUAUUACCAGAAGAACAUAGAACGGUAAAAAUGCUAAACGAUUUAAAAAGUAAUCUUGACUUUAAAAUGGAUAGUGCAUAUGAUACUGAUGUCCUGUACAGUAAUUAUACUGAAACUUUUUCCGGUCUUUUAGAUCAUAUAUACUUUACAAAUCAACAUCUCUACCUUAAUGAGGUAUUACCCAUGCCAUCACAUGAUGAUGUUAUCCAAUAUGGAGGAAUUCCGAGCGUAUUAUUUCCUUCAGAUCAUUUAGCUUUAAUUGCAGACUUCGAUGUAAAAUAAUUUAUCUAUUUUAUAAUGAUAUUUUCUUUUAUUAUAUUUAUAUUUUUUAAAUAAUAUUUCUAAUAGUACCUUUAA